rnacentral:rRNA from 14 species
CGGCUGUCGUAUCAUUGGUCCUAAGGUAGCAAAAUUCCUUGACAGGUAAGUUCCGUCCAGCAUGAGCGGUGUUACGACUUCCUCACUGUCACUAGCCUGGUCUUUCAGAAAUUGAGUCAUCCUUGAUUACGAGGAAGCCAACGGCCAGACGGGUCAACCUCUUCUUUCUUAUC